ensembl:lncRNA SNTG2-AS1 SNTG2 antisense RNA 1
GGCGAGCGGGGAUCAGCCGAAGUCGGGAGAGGGGCGCUUCCACGGGGCGGGAAACUGGCGCGCGACUCUGGGGGAAGUGCAGGAUGGGGGGACAGGGGCGCUCCCGCGGGGGUGGAUGGGGGACCAUAGCGGGGCUGGCGGGGCAGGGGCCGGCGCACGAGGCUGGAGGAGGGGAGCGCGCGCUUCUACCCGGGCUGGGUCGCCGAGCCUCGAAGCCAUGGGUUCUCCCCGGCCCUCUGAAGCCGCCACACCUGUGCCAGCCGGCCGCGUCCUCAGACCUUUCCCCGCGGAGUCUUCCCAGCACUUGGAGACGCAGCGCAGGGCCCCGAGGACGGCCUGGCCCGGAGAAAAGAUACCGAAGCUCCAACUUUCCCCAACCCCGCUCCCCUCCUCCUUCCACCCUCCCUUCCCGCCCCCAAAGCUCGGGGGUCCUAUCCCUCCUCCGGUCCGCGGAGUCUCCCGAACCCUGCGGGGACCCGGCGCUCGGCGGUGCCCUCCUGGGGCGCACGGGGCUGGGGCGGGAGCGAGGAGACCAGGUGGGGAGGGGACCCCAGAUCUCAGACGCCAGGGGAGACGGCGUUUCCCGCUGUUCAUUCAGGUUUGUGCCAAAAGGAGCCUCACAGAUGCAGUAUUGGGUUUGGUAGACUCAAAUCGUCUUGUUUUAAUGUAAAUGAAAGUAAGUUUAGGAUAAAUUCCAGUGCGGCGGGGGCAGGCAAGGCUACCCACAUUUUUUAAAAAGAAGCCAGCCCGUAUUUUUCUCCCUUUCCAAAUCCUCCGCCCCCCAGUCCUUCGACCCAGGCACGAGCGCCCAUCGCGGAGGCCACGAUGCCCGUUUUAUUCCCUCUCCACGGCAAGGAAAAGCAGCGAAAUCUGAGGUCUUCAGAGGUUAACCCUAUCUAGGAGCAGAAUGUGACGCAUUGUAAACAAAUAAAUAUUGAAAACUCGAUGUUAAA